rnacentral:rRNA from 1 species
CCUACGGGUGGCAGCAGUGAGGAAUAUUGGUCAAUGGGCGGAAGCCUGAACCAGCCAAGUAGCGUGCAGGAUGACGGCCCUACGGGUUGUAAACUGCUUUUAUACGGGAAUAAAGCGCCGUACGUGUAGGGCUUUGCAUGUACCGGAUGAAUAAGGACCGGCUAAUUCCGUGCCAGCAGCCGCGGUAAUACGGAAGGUCCGGGCGUUAUCCGGAUUUAUUGGGUUGAAAGGGAGCGUAGGCCGCAUGUCAAGCGUGCGUGGAAAUGGCCGGGCGCAACCCGGGCCGUGCAGCGCGAACGGGCGUGCUUGAGUCCGCGGCAAGCAGGCGGACUUCGUCGUGUAGCGGUGAAAUGCUUAGAUCUUCCG